GGGCCCAUAGCUCAGUGGUAGAGCAGGUGACUCAUAAUCACUUGGUCGUAGGUUCGAACCCUUCUGGGCCCA
rnacentral:tRNA from 1 species